GCUAUUUGUCCGCCAUUGCUGGAUAUCACACAGGUUCCCGUAAAAAUGUCAUCAAACAAAAUAUCUGACGCCACAAUUGAAAAGUGAUUGUUGUAUGCUUCAACGUAGGAAGGCGUCCCAGAAAAAAAUAAAAAUAGCCUUGCCAGACGUCAUAAUUAUUUGGACAAUAAUCAGACAUGUCAGUGUUGGUACUUUGAUGAUGCGUCACAAUAGUUUUGUUUUACACACCAUCAUGAACUACUAUAUAUGUAGUGACUGUUAUUUUGAAUAAAGAGAUGAAAUGC
rnacentral:lncRNA from 1 species